CAGUUGCGUGUGUUGGUGUGUGCAUAUGUGCAUAGAGGUAGGUGUGUAUCGGUUUGUGUGUGCAUGUGUGUCUGCAUAUGUGUAGGCACGUGUGUCGGUGUUGGUAUGUGUACAUGUGUGUGCAUGUGUGUGUGUUGGUGUGUCUGCAUGUGUAUGUGCAUAUGUGUAGGUGUGUUGGCAUGUGUGUGCAUGUGUGUUGGUGUGUAUGUGUGUGCAUAUGUGUAGGUGUGUGUGUGUCUGUGUGUGUUGGUAUAUGUGUGUCUGUGUUGGUAUGUAGGGGUGUGUGCAUGUGUGUGCAUAUGUGUAGGUGCGUGUGUGUCUGUGCGUGUGUGUGUGUCCGUCCUCUCCUCUCGUUAUCAGGCCCCAGUCAUUGCAUUAGGACCCCCUGCUCCAGUCUGGCCUCCUCUUGAUCACAG
rnacentral:lncRNA from 10 species